UUAUUUACGUGAGUUCUUGGAAGAAGAAAAGCCACCUAUGAAUUGGUUCUAGAUAACCAGUCUCUGUAACUGGCCAAAAUUUCUCUUCAGUGUUUUAUGUAUUUAUUAUGUGGGGUUGCGCUAGGUCUUGGUUGCUGGGCGGGCUUUGUCUAGUCCUGGCUAGGGUGGGGCUUCUCCUCCUUUCAAUGCGCAUGCUCCUCGUUGCUGCGGCUUGCGGACGCCACGGCUCAGUUCCAUCCCUAGAGUGCAGGCUCAGUAGUUGGGGCACACCAGGCUUUAGUUGCUCCGCAUCCUGUAGGUUCUUCCCGGACCAGGGGUAGAACUCUUGUCUCCUGCAUUGGCAGACGGAUUCUUAACUGUUGGACCACUAGGAAAGUCUAUCAUUUUUAUUAUUCUCUAUCUCUUGAAACAGAACAUAAGGAAUGUAAUGUUAACCUGUGCUUGAUGGCACAGGCCAGCUUUAAGGUCAAUACUUCCUUGAGCUGUGAUAUAGUGGUGUCCUUUGGGGCUUCAGAGAUGGAAUGGAGCUCGCAGUCUUUAAAUGAAAAGGCCUGAGAGAGCAGUGCUCUUACCUCAUCUUCUUUCUUCCCCAGCCCUUCAAAUUUGCUGCUAAAACUCUGCAGUGGGCUCAGAUGAACUGCUAAUCCACUUGAGUUACUAUCAGUGUACAGAAGUGUGUCUUGUAUGAGGAAGACACACGUGAAAUGUGAAGAUCUGGGUGUUCUCCGCAUGUGCAGUGCAUGAACUUCAUUGCUUUCAUUUGGGCUCUGCAGAAACUUUUUUUCUCUCCUAGCUUCCUCCCCCGCACCGUUGGACUUUGGCUUAUAGAAGUCCCUGGAUUGCUGACCUGGUUAAAGAGGUUUUACUAUGAUUAGAAACACAGGCCAGACUCCUUGGGGUCAUGGGGUUCUGUUUUGCUCUGCCGCUGGUAAGCCGUUCUUUCUGUGCUUUGCAGGAAUUCCACAAAUUUAGUCCAGCUCAGACGGUGACCGGGGUCAACAAAGUUUUUUUUUUUUUUUAAGGGCCUGAUAUUUAAUGCUGUGGACUUUGUAAGUCAAGAGGCAAAAUCAAGGAAAGUAUGUCACUACUUGUAUAAGAAGAGAGAAAACAAAUUACCACAAAUGUUUCUUUGGUGAGCCUCAAAGUAUAGUAGUAACAAUUGAGUACUGUGUUUGUGGCUCAGAUCUACUCAUGAAAAGAAAAGAAUUCUCUUUUGAGGGGAACAACUUUUGGCUUAGUUGGAGUUUGAAGUUAGUGUUUCCUAACACUAACUAAAUUGAUUGUAAAUGUUGAUCAAAUUGAUUGUAAAUCUUCAUUUGUAAAAGCCAGUCACCUCACAGGCUGUUCAGAAGCAGGUGGUAAGUCAGAUUCAGGCCAUAAUUUUCCAGUCUCUGGUCUAUGAUUUAGAUGGAUAAUUGUCCCUAUUUUCUCUUCUUCCUUUUAAUGUAGAAUGCUCUGAAUUUUAGCUCAGCACAUGGCCACAUUGCUCACUUCCUUUUUUUCCAGCCUCCCUUGCAACUAGAUGAGACCAUGCCAUUGAAUUCUGGAUAACAGGAUGUGAGCGGCCCUCUAUGUCUUACUUCUUAUGGGCUGGAAAAGAGGGAGAGCUGAAACAGCUGCUUGGAACCAGGAGACAGCUGCCUGACGUUGACUGUAGCACGGCUGCCCUCCAGCCCUGCACCUCUCAUAUCCAGACUUCAAUCCACCAAUCCUGUGGUCCCUCUGUACUUAAAGCACCACAAGGAGCAACGGAAUCUCUACCCUCGAGGAGUCUUAAUCGAGAGUGGAUCAUGUCAUUCUUUCCUGAGGCCCAGGAGGGGUGAGUUGUCCUGUGUGCUGUGCAGGGGCGGGGCGCCGCCCCUGCUGAAGCUGGUGCGUUCCAUUGGACAAUGUGGCCUUUUCUGCUCGACUCUCACUGGGCAUGUACAGUGAGAUGUGGGUGCGGCUGACCAUCCAUUGCAACAAUUCCCAAGCUUCCAGAGUAAGGCAUUUUCAAAUAAAAAGAUGUGUAUAUUGUAAUUACUAAUUCUGUUUACCCUCUUUUCUGUGAAAGGACUACAGAAACUUGACUUUUAAAAAUUAGCGUGUGAAAAGUCAUUCUCUCUCUCUCUCUCCCCCUGCCCCCAGAUCCCCUCUUCUCUUGCUUUGAACUACAUUCUUGUAUUCACUCUGCAACUUUUUAUUGUGAGCCUUGUGGUGUGUUGUUGAAAAUACAGCCGAGGACGGUUUUAUUCUUAUUGAACUGAGGGCCCUAAUGAGAGAUGCAGAUGCUAUGCUGUUUCUAGUGGGGUUUUAAUUUUGUUUGUUUGCUUGUUUUUAAGAAUACCUUCUGCACAUAUAUCUGUAAUAUAUAUUCUCUCAUUAAAAAAAAUACAAAUGGUGACUUACUACAUACGUACCUUUGUUUUAUUCCUGUCACAUUAUGUAGAAGACUUUUUUUUUUUAACUGUACAUCAUUUUUUUGCCUUUCCAAAUAGCUCCCUAAUCUUACUUUGUGGCAUCACCUCUUUCUCCUUUUGCAUACGUGGGAAUGCAAAUGAAGUCCUUUGUCUUCCAUGGUAGCCAAGGGUGAGGUAUGCAACCUAAGCUCGCUCUCCCUUUUUAAAGUGAAUCUCAACCAGAGUGACUAAAGGAUUAAAUCAUGUGAAGGCCACUGCCAGCACCCAGAGAGGAUGAUGGAGU
ensembl:lncRNA